UGCUUGUGUGUCGGAGCUCUGAGGCUCCGGCCUGACCUCUCCUCGGGGUCGACGGGAACGUCUCCGGAUGCCAGGACUCGCAAAGGGCUGACAAGAAUGAGGAAAUCCCAGGCGGAGUCCGGGGGAGGCAGCACGGCAUCCCAGCCUCAGGGCUGCCCGGACGGUGUUGGUUGGGGUAAGAUUGGGGAAGAUGCCAGGUGAUAGAAUCCACCCUGCCUCUGACAGCAUCCAAUCUGGAGCAAAGGCUUCUUUCAACCUUCCCCCAAGCUCCCAAUACAAGCCCAAAUUCUGGAACAAGUCCUUUCCAACACCUCCUUCAGAGAAGCUCCCUGGCUCCAGGCAGUGCUUGCUCCCCUCACUGCAGCAGGAAGCCUAACUUGCGAACUGCAGGUGUGCUCCAGGUGGUCACUGGAUGCAAGUUUCUUUUGAUUUCUCCUGCUUAGAAAUGGUGCGAGAACUUUGGAUGUGGAACGUGGAGGAGGAGGAACACGAAGUGGGGAUCUGCACUUGGGGUGGUCAGCACUGCGGAUGCCCAGCAAAGUCACUGCCUGGUCCACAUCCCGGAGGGGUCUCUGCGCCUCAGUCGGCAUCGCAGCUGAUGGUGAAACUUUUGGUGUGGCAGAAGAGUGUCCACAAACUUCGGAAGGUAUCCGCUACAUCCUCCAUAGCCGUGUAUCCCUGCCCAGGGCAAUCUUCUGGGGGAGCGGAAAGUCCUGCUCCCGGGCCAGGGCUG
rnacentral:lncRNA from 1 species